rnacentral:rRNA from 1 species
CUACGGGCUGCAGCAGUGGGGAAUCUUAGACAAUGGGCGCAAGCCUGAUCUAGCCAUGCCGCGUGAGUGACGAAGGCCUUAGGGUCGUAAAGCUCUUUCGCUAGGGAAGAUAAUGACUGUACCUAGUAAAGAAACCCCGGCUAACUCCGUGCCAGCAGCCGCGGUAAUACGGAGGGGGUUAGCGUUGUUCGGAAUUACUGGGCGUAAAGCGCGCGUAGGCGGAUCAGAAAGUUGGGGGUGAAAUCCCAGGGCUCAACCCUGGAACUGCCUCCAAAACUCCUGGUCUUGAGUUCGAGAGAGGUGAGUGGAAUUCCGAGUGUAGAGGUGAAAUUAGUAGAUAUUCGGAGGAACACCAGUGGCGAAGGCGGCUCACUGGCUCGAUACUGACGCUGAGGUGCGAAAGCGUGGGGAGCAAACAGGAUUAGAUACCCCCGUAGUC